AAAAGCGAAUAAUUGUGAGCUAAUGAGUAAAAUUUUCAAAGUCACGUACAUACGUUAGAUUUCCAUGAGCCCAAAUAGGGCCUCGUUAGCUCUUUAAAAUGCGGCUCAACAAGACAGUAUGUCAUUAAAUGUGAACAACAAUUAACGGUACAACAGGAAUACUUGAUUUUGGAUGGUUUUAUUGAAAUAAAGAUAAAACGACUAACGUUAGGAUUUUACAAAAUCACGGCAUCUCGUUGGAUUUGGACUGAACUUGACAGGGCCUAAUUGGCCCCUUGGAAACUUUAAAAAUUAAAGCCCAGAUAGGCAUUAAUUAAUUACUGUUAUUGUAUUUAGUUGAAUUGUGAACUAAUGAGUCGAAUUUUCAAAGUCACGUAUAUACGUUAGACUUCCAUGAGCCCAAAUAGGGCCUCAUUAACUCUCUGAAAUGUGACUCAACAAGACAGUAUGUCAUUAAAUGUGAACAACAAUUAACGGUACAACAUUGACCCCUUGGAAACUUUAAAAAUUAAAGCCCUGAAAGGCAUUAAUUAAUUACUGUUAUUUUAUUUAGUUGAUGACACACCCCAAGGCUUGAUCAACCUGGGCGGGGCCUUCCUUGGAAGAGGGUGUCUAGUGAUAAAUGGCCGAAACACCCAAUGAUUCCAAGGUCCACUACUGAUGAUGUGUCCUUAAAUAUUACCUUAAAAAAUUAAAAUACACAAUAAUGUCAAAUUAAGGAGACAAUAAAAAGAUAAUACAAUAAAAUAAAUAAAAAGAACACGUAACAAUAAAUAAUAAAGGAUUGAAAAGAACAUGGAUUCAGACUAAGAAGAGUAUUUAAACAAUAAGAUUAAGUGACACAAAAGUGGUUGCCCUGGAUACUGACCAAGUGCAUGAUGGGAACCAGGAAGUCAGACCAGGCAGAGCACAUGGAGCUCAGGGAGCAGAUGGCAGACAGGUCAGGCAGGGAGGAAGCCUCAUUUGAAGAACAAGGUACAAGUAAGUGGGAAUACAUGAUAACAAAUAUAGGAAACGUAUGAAGGAGAAGCAUCUAUGUGAUGAUAUUAAUACUUUAACUUUGUAGAAGC
ensembl:lncRNA